rnacentral:lncRNA from 1 species
AUGUUGGUUGCUUUAAAAAACGUUUCUACUUUUUGUCAUGUCUCUAUCCUUUCUGGUUAUUUGCAGAUGAUGUACCGCUUGUUUUCCGCCUUGGGUGUUCUAUUCGGAAUGGCCUCAGCGGGGGUCUUUUAUGGCUUAGGGCCAGAGCCAAAGACGAUAUGUCCUGGGAUGCCAUUCACUUUUACACGGACAUAUAAGAUAAGAGCAGACUUGAUGUACUACAAGAACGGGGUUGAGAGGAAGGUUGCCACUACCAAGGAGAUUAUAGACCCCCAGUUUCGGCUCAAUGGCAGUGAACCUUAUUUACCCGAGGUCAUGAAAACGCAUGAAGGGAAGUAUUAUUGGAAGGCUCCAUCGGUCGAUUUUGAACUGAAUUACAUCAGACUAAUUCUGAAAGACUGCAGUGUUCGUCAAAAUGUGGUGUACGGUGAGGAGUUGGCCUUAAAUGUGCCGGCGGACGCGUCUGUGUUGGAGUUCACCCCUCACCUCUCAGACCAACACUCCGUCCUGUGGAGACGGAUACACAGAGGGGGGGACGAGGAAGCAAGGGGCGCGGUUAAGGACGGCCGCUGGACAGCACAGAGGAUGACCCAAGCGGAUCAGGGGCGCUACACUUUACUCAGGGAGAGUGGUGGCCAGAUCUCCAGCACUGUGGUCUCUGUUGAAGAACUCCAAAUACAUGCUCACGUGGCUGAUGACGACGUCAGAGAUCACUGGAGAACUGAUGUUAAUAUCUCUGCACGGGAGGCUGUAGUCACUUACUUUACGGCUUUCGGGGGUGAGCAUGUGCUCUUCCGAGACGGCAUGGAGACUGAUGAGGGCUUCGACAUUUUUGGAAAUCGUAUCACACUCCAAAAGUCAACGCUCCAAAAGUCAACUUUCAGCAUCAGCAAAGCGCAGCCAAGUGACGCAGGACGAUACGAGAUCCAUGACAAGAAUGGACAUCUGGCCAUCUCACUGUAUCUGGAGAGAGACCCUGGUCAGUCGUAUGCCAUGACCUGUUUUUAUUGUUGUAUAAUGUAGUUAUUAAUUCUACUUCAAUCUCUUUCUGCGUGUCAACAUUUUUCUCUCUCCUUCAAUCUCUCAGAAGAUGAAGAGUUUUAUCCUACGAGUUUAGCCACUCCUCUUGGCAUAUCUGCGGGCGUGCUGGUUGGACUGCUGUGCUGUUGCUGGUGCUGUUGCAAGUGCUGUGGCAAGUGCUGUGGCCAUGACGAUGGUGACAAGACUGAGUCCGCCGCUGCUUCUCCAGACGCCGAGCAACCCGCUCACAUCCAUGUAAGCGCUUCUAUAUAGGGGAAAGUCUUGCAGGGGUCGUGACCUCGGCCCUUUGUGACAAGAGCAAACACGUGGAGUUGAUUCAUGGAGGGUUAAAAGAAGGAAUAAAAACAAGGCACCCCUGAUGUUAAACUUAAAG